GAAUAUCGCCGGGGUGUUUCUCCUCCUCCCAUUCCCUCGGCGAUCAAAGACCGGACACUCUCCUCCUCCCAAGUCCGGUCUUUUCCAUAAAACACCCGUCGCCUCCUCCCGGCGACGGGUGUUUUGU
rfam:Brucella sp. NF 2653 VBI00228_111, whole genome shotgun sequence.